rnacentral:lncRNA from 1 species
UAAGUGACUAGUAAUAUACCCCAAAAGAUAUUUAGGAAAUGGCCACAACUACAAAGAGUAAUAGAUUAAUCUACCAAUAUAAUAGGCAUCUUAAACAUUUAAUUAAUAGAUCACAAAGAUGUCAAAAUUCAUGAUGAUGAAGGGCAUGGAAGAUUUAAAGAGCACAAUUAAUAAAGUAGACCUGAUAGAGAUAUAUAAAACACCCCUGCUCCCUGCUCCUUUAAAUAAGAAAAUAAGCAUGUUUUUGCAAACCAAAUCUCAUAUUGUAUCUAAAGUAUAAUGGAUGAUGACCAUAUUGGAUUUAUCCCAGGAAGCAAAUUGGUUAAUAUUAGAAAAUCAAAAAAAAAAAAAAGAAAGAAAAAUAAAAUCAUUCAGUGUGACUCAUCUGUUAAUGGAUUAAAAUAUGAUCAGAUUGUCUGUGAAAAUCCUGAGUCUAUAAGGCAAAUUAAAAGACUUAAAUUUAUCAAGGUCGCUGGAACAAAAUCAAUAUGCAGUCAAUUACAUUUCCAUGCAUCCAGCUAUAAGCUGUAACAUCGUAAAAAUUUAAAUGUAAUUAAAUAACAAUUUACAGUAGGAAGAAACAAUAUAAAGUAUGUGAGAAUAAAUCUUAAGAGCCAUGUAUACCUUUUAGUGAGAAAAUGAUUAAAAAAAAAACAAAAACCAACACCUUCAUUGACCUAAAUAAAUGGAGAGACUGAUGGAGAAGAUCAUCUUGGUCUCAACUCUUUGCCCAAAUUGGUUAAUAGAUUAAUGCAACUCCAACAAAAAGUCCCAAUGAUUUUCACUGUGGUACUUGGCAAGCUGAUCCUAGAAUGUAAAGUGGAUGAAACAGCCAAGGAUAUUCAAAACAUUAUUUAAAAAGAAUGAAGUGUGAGGGAACUAGCACUACCAGACUUUAAAACUUACUCUAAAAUGAAACAAAAAAACUCAGACAUUUUAAAGAAGUUUAAAAAAAAAAAAUGUUAACUAUCAAAAUGUGAUUAAAACAAUGUGGAAUCAGUAAAGAGAUUACGAGUAAAUGAACUGCACAGAAACUGAUCCACUUAGUAUGAGAACUUAAUUUUUAAAAGGGCAGUCGUGGCAGAUUUUGAGGGAAGAAUGGAUUAUUUAAUAAAUGGGGGCUUCAGUAGUUUUUCACAAAUGAAAAAAGUGAAUGGGACCUCUGCUUUGCACCAAGCACAGAAAGCAAUCCCAGAUGGAUUAAAGGUUCACAUAGGAAAGUUAAAGCUAUAAAAUUUCUAGAAGACAAUGUAGAAGAAUAUUUUUAUGACUUUGGGGAAGGGAAGGAUUUUGUAAACAAAGGAGGAGGUGCAAACCAGUGAAAGAUGAAUAAUUUGGCUACAGUGAUAGUACUUUUGUUUACUGAACAUUCCACAGAGUGAAAAAAUAAGCCCAAGGUGGAAUAUGAUAGAGAUAUUCACAAUAUAUCUAACUUGUUAAAGAGCUAUCUGCAAAUCAGUAACAAAAAGAAGAGAAAUGUACAAAGGUGCAAGUAUUUCACAGAAGGAACAGAAAUGGCCCAUAAUCCUGAAAAGAUGGCUAAUUUGAUCAGUCAUCAGGAAAUGCACCUGUAAGUACCAUUCCCUGGCCACCAAAUUGGCAACCACUAAAGAAGUAAGGAAAUACCAACAAUUGGAGAGAAUUAGAAUAGCACAUCUUUUUUCAUCUGCUGCUGUUGGCAUGUCAGUUACUGUCAUUUUGGAAAACAGUAUUAUCUAGUUAAGUUGACCACAGAUAUAUCUUACAGGCAAGGAUUUACACUCAGAGAAACUCCUGUGUGGGUGUAUACACCUAGGAAACGCAUGGGAAUGUCUCAACAGUUGAUUAUAAUAAGGAGGAAGAGGGCCAAUCCACGGUAUAAUGAGUAAGUGAAAUCUAUGGGUGCAAUGGAAUUCUGGAGAGCAGUGAGUAUGAUGUAGAGCUUUGCACAUCAUAGGUGAAUCUCAGAAAUCCUGUUAAGGACAUCAGAAUGAUUCAUGAUUAGUAAAACUAAAGGAAAAUUAACACCUCAGAUCAUGAUUUCCUUAGGGGCGGGGUAGAAGGAAAGCAGAGAGGAACAUAGGCUUAUAAGCACUUGAUAAUAGGAACAUUUUGAUUUGACCGUUGUAAAUAUGUCAGUUCUUGAGUUAAUAUGUAUAUUCGGUGCAAAGCCAAUCCAAAUGCCAAAGAAUAUUUAUUUUUAAUAUAAAUUAAAAAUUCAUACAUAUGGAAGUAUAACAUGAAAAUAGGAGGAUCUUCAUUGAAAGGGGAGAAAAAAGGGAACUUGCUGUACCAAAAAAAUUUUUUUUCUUUCAAGUGCAAUUAAAUUUUUACACUUAAUAUAAAAUUAGGCAAUUCAACGGAAAAAUAGUUUUAAAAAUGAAUUCAAAUGCUUUUAAGAAUUUAGAAUACAUUAAAGGUGGCUUUUUUGAAAUAAUUCCAACCAUGAUGGAUUUUACUCAAUAAAAGGUGCUGGUUUAAGUAGAGAAAAUUAAAUUUAUUCCCAUCAGACCAUUCACCAAAACAAAUUCCAGUUGGACUAAAAUUCUGAGAAUACGUUCUAAAAGAAGACAAUACAGUUAAUAUUUGGGGGGAUUGAGAAGUUUGUUCUAAGGAUGUUAGCAACGGCAUGAAACAUUGCUGUCCAAACCAGUCACCCGAGUCAUGUAGAGCACCUCCCCAGCAUGUGUAUAUAGAUAUGUAUAUUUUUAAAUUAAUGUUUACGUACUAUACUAAUACACAUAAGACAAAAA